rnacentral:rRNA from 1 species
CUUUCAGCCGGAACGAAACGGUCACGGUUAAUACCUGUGACUACUGACGGUACCGGAAGAAGAAGCACCGGCUAACUACGUGCCAGCAGCCGCGGUAAUACGUAGGGUGCGAGCGUUAAUCGGAAUUACUGGGCGUAAAGCGUGCGCAGGCGGUUUUGUAAGUCAGAUGUGAAAUCCCCGGGCUUAACCUGGGAACUGCGUUUGAAACUACAAGGCUAG